GAACCGUACAAACGUUUAUUCGGAAUUACUGGGCUUAAAGGGUGCGUAGGCGGCGUGGUAAGUGAGGCGUGAAAGCCCUCGGCUCAACCGAGGAAUUGCGUUUCAUACUGCCACACUCGAGGGAGACAGAGGUAAGCGGAACUGAUGGUGGAGCGGUGAAAUGCGUUGAUAUUAUCAGGAACACCAGUGGCGAAAGCGGCUUACUGGGUCUCUUCUGACGCUGAGGCACGAAAGCUAGGGUAGCGAACGGGGAUUAGAUACCCCGGUAGUCCUAGCUGUAAACGAUGAGCACUUGGUCGGGGAUCCCCCCCUCAUAGGUUCCCCCGAUCGUAGCGAAAGUGUUAAGUGCUCCGCCUGGGGGAGUAUGGUCGCAAGUCUG
rnacentral:rRNA from 1 species